rnacentral:rRNA from 1 species
GCCGAACUCUUUCUUCUUUCUUAACACAUGCAAGUCGAACGGAAAGGCCCUGCUUUUGUGGUGUGCUCGAGUGGCGAACGGGUGAGUAACACGUGAGUAACCUGCCCUUGACUUUGGGAUAACUUCAGGAAACUGGGGCUAAUACCGGAUAGGAGCUCCUGCUGCAUGGUGGGGGUUGGAAAGUUUCGGCGGUUGGGGAUGGACUCGCGGCUUAUCAGCUUGUUGGUGGGGUAGUGGCUUACCAAGGCUUGGAGGGGUAGCCGGCCUGAGAGGGUGACCGGCCACAUUGGGACUGCGAUACGGCCCAGAGUCCUACGGGAGGCAGCAGUGGGGAAUAUUGCCCAAUGGGCGGAAGCCUGAUGCAGCAACGCCGCGUGCGGGAUGACGGCCUUCGGGUUGUAAACCGCUUUAGCCUGUGACGAAGCGUGAGUGACGGUAAUGGGUAAAGAAGCACCGGCUAACUACGUG